rnacentral:rRNA from 1 species
UACGGGGGGGUAAGCGUUGUUCGGAAUUACUGGGCGUAAAGGGCUCGUAGGCGGCCAACUAAGUCAUACGUGAAAUCCCUCAGCUUAACUGGGGAACUGCGUGUGAUACUGGAUGGCUUGGAUUUGGGAGAGGGAUGCGGAAUUCCAGGUGUAGCGGUGAAAUGCGUAGAUAUCUGGAGGAACACCGGUGGCGAAGGCGGCAUCCUGGACCAAUAUUGGACGCUGAGGAGCGAAAGCUAGGGGAGC